rnacentral:rRNA from 1 species
ACGAACGCUGGCGGCGUGCUUAACACAUGCAAGUCGAGCGGUAGGGCCCUUCGGGUACGACGAGCGGCGAACGGGUGAGUAACACGUGGGUGACCUGCCUCUAGCUCUGGGAUAAGCCUGGGAAACUGGGUCUAAUACCGGAUAUGACUCCACGGCGCAUGUUGUGGGGUGGAAAGCCUUGUGUGGCUAGAGAUGGGCCCGCGGCCUAUCAGCUUGUUGGUGGGGUGAUGGCCUACCAAGGCGACGACGGGUAGCCGGCCUGAGAGGGCGACCGGCCACACUGGGACUGAGACACGGCCCAGACUCCUACGGGAGGGCAGCAGUGGGGAAUCUUGCGCAAUGGGCGAAAGCCUGACGCAGCGACGCCGCGUGAGGGAUGACGGCCU